UAUCUCUGAUAUUGUCGAAACGACUAUUUUAUAUGGUUAAUAACAUAUCAGCGGAUUCAGUUGGGGUUUGCCAGUCACUCGGGACGAACGCGUUUUCUCUGGAGAUAAUUUUUCCGUGUCGUCAUGCUAUAACUACAUUUGUAAAAUUAUCCUUGUGCAUUUUCAUUAAUCAAAAUUUUUUCCGAAAAUCUACAAAACAAAUUUUUCAUUUCGGUCCGAAAAUUUGUUGCUUUUUUUCUCUUGCUGCGAAACGAAAUAAUUUUUUGUUUGUUUGUUGAUAGCGAAAUUUUUCACACCGUGAAAACCAAAAGCAGUUGAAAUCGAAUCGAAGAAAUUCGUUGAUUUUUUUUUUCUUCGCCGAAAUCAGUUUGUCAUCGGUUUUGAACAGAAAAAGAAGUAUGUGAAAGAAUAAACAAAAACUCUGCGAUUUUCGAAAAAUUCAAAACACUUGUGAAGAUAAACGAAAUCUGUUUUUUUUUCUCAAAAACUGUCCUAUUUUAAAUUCGCGCGUGACAAAAAUAUAUUGAAGAUUUUGAAGCGAAUCUGUUCGAUCGCAAAAAAAAAACAAAGAAAGAAAGAUAAAAACAGAACCAUUUAUUUUGUGUGAACAUCGUUUUGUGUUUUCGUGCGAAAUCAACGAUAUCGUUCGGAAUACACAACAUUUGAUUAUUCAACGUGCUAGUGUAAACCAUUAAAUCGUCACCAUUUUCUUUUGUGAUCAAGUGGUUGAUAACGGCUUAAAGCUGCGUUCCGACGAACCAGUACCGGGCUGCUUCAGCUCGGCGUCACCAUGGCCAACACUCGAAUUGGAAUGGGGUCGAAAAUUGUAUCCAUCGUCCGGGCCACGGUCCAGCAGUUUAAUGUUCACAUUACCGCCCGGUAGUGAUUUAAAUCAAAAUCGCGGACCGAUCACAUCACUCAAAGAAGAACCACUUGGAACGCGAGCAUGGAUGCAACCAUCGCAACAAAUUAAUCUCGGCAUUGGCCGUGCCCAUUUCGAAAAACAGCCGCCCAGUAAUCUACGAAAAUCAAACUUUUUUCACUUUGUGAUUGCACUGUAUGAUCGAAGCGAGCAACCAAUCGAAAUUGAACGUACUGCCUUCAUUGGAUUUAUAGAAAAAGAUCAGGAAACGGACAGUACAAAAACAAACAAUGGAAUUCAGUAUCGGCUACAGUUACUCUAUGCGAAUGGUGCUAGGCAGGAACAGGAUAUUUUCGUGCGGCUGAUCGACUCACAAACGAAACAGGCCAUUAUAUACGAAGGACAAGACAAAAAUCCGGAAAUGUGUAGAGUUUUAUUAACUCAUGAAGUAAUGUGCAGUCGAUGCUGUGACAAGAAAAGCUGCGGAAACCGAAACGAAACACCUUCAGAUCCAGUGAUUAUAGAUAGAUUUUUCCUCAAAUUCUUCUUAAAAUGUAAUCAAAAUUGUUUGAAAAAUGCUGGAAACCCACGAGACAUGCGAAGAUUUCAAGUGGUAAUUGCAACACAAGUUUCAGUCGAAGGUCCACUGAUGGCCAUCUCCGAUCAAAUGUUUGUGCACAACAAUUCGAAGCAUGGGCGACGAGCCAAGCGAUUGGACGCAAGCGAUGGUACAUCACCGUUAUCAAUUUCACAUCCAUUGGCUCCAGACAGUACGUACGAUGGUCUCUACCCACCGAUGCCUGUUGCAACACCGUGUAUAAAAGCAAUAUCACCAACUGAAGGAUGGACCAUCGGCGGUGCACAAGUUAUCAUUGUCGGCGAUAAUUUUUUUGAUGGCCUACAAGUCGUAUUCGGAACAAUGCUCGUAUGGAGUGAGCUGAUAACAUCACACGCGAUUCGAGUACAAACACCACCCAGACAUAUUCCGGGUGUCGUUGAUGUCACUCUAUCCUACAAAAGUAAGCAGUUCUGUAAGGGACAACCCGGCCGAUUCGUGUAUGUGUCUUUAAGCGAACCAACACUUGACUACAAUUUCCAACGAUUACAAAAGUCCGUACCGCGGCAUCCAGGCGAUCCCGACAAGCUACCAAAGGAGAUUCUACUUAAACGUGCUGCCGACAUUGCUGAAGCUCUCUAUUCGAUGCCACGGUCACCAAAUAGUUCGAGCACAUUCAAUUCGUAUGCCGGCCAAUUGGCGGUGAGUGUUCAAGACAGUAAUGCACAGUGGACUGAAGAUGAUUAUCAACGAACACAAACGAGUAGUGUGAGCCCGCGUGGUGGCUAUUGCAGUAGUGCAUCAACGCCACAUUCAUCCGGAGGCGGUUCAUAUGGUGCUGGCAAUGGAAAUGGAUAUGCACCAAAUAUGGGCACCUUAUCAGCGUCCUCAUCGAGUGUGUUCAAUUCGACAUCGACUAGUGCCUUUGCACCAUUAGUAACCACAUCAUCAGCUUGGCAUCAAGCUUUAGUCCCUGUUCACACAUCUACACACCAAACCUGGCAUAAUCCUUCUGCUACAACAGCAGCCGCUGUUUAAAUCUGAAACCACUCCCGACAGAGCCGUUCGACAUAUAUAUACAUACCACAUAUACAGACAUACAAAACAGAGCCAAAAAACAAAUAAAACAAAAGCAACAAGCGACUCUUUCGACUCAUCCAACACACCGCUUUCCAUUCAUUUCUAAAAGUAAUGAGUUAGUGGACUUGUUAGUGGUUUCAAUCCUUUUGCCUUGCCCACCUGUAAUUCCCAAGGCUAUUCAACUAGUCCGUUGGCCACAUCAUCGAAAUAGUAUUAACUAAACUUUCAGCCAUACGUUUAAACACAGAACGAUAUGGCCGCAUUUUGGUUUGAAUACAAAGACACCCACACACACACACACACACACGACGAAUUCAAGUGCGAAAUUGAUUUAUACGAUGAUGAAAACAGAACAAAUAAAUCGUAAUCACACUUGAAUCACGUUCAAGCAUUGGCUCGACAUCGUCAUUCAAUUUACGUAUUGAGACAACUCUUAACAAAACACGCUCACACAUACACAACCAUAUUUAGUAAAAUUUUAAAAAUGUAAAACCAUUUGUCACACUUUAACCGAUUCGAAAAUCAUUUCAUACCGGCAAUUUCGAAGCGAAUCAGUGAAAAGCCUCAGGAAUAAUGUUCAAAGAUCUUUUGAGGUACUCUAUCAAUUGCUUCACCAUCCAAUUGUUUCUUAUUUAUUUGUUUCGACCAUUUGUCAGUUCCGUCAAGUAAUGAUGAAUUUGAGAGGCGUAUUUCUCAAUCACAAUACUAAUCAAACACAAUAAACUUCUUCUUUUUUUUCUAAAUUACGUUUUACAAUUGUCACUACUUUCGUGUAUAAAAUCAACUUUUUGUGUGUAUAUUUCCAUAUUUCAAUACUAGUUUGAUCUGAGUCAAUUUCGUUGAAUAGGCUAGUUCACGUGUGAUUUACGGCAAAUUCAAGGCAGCCCAAUUUCAAACUGGUUUUUCUCUUAAAACUGGUAUAAAACAAAUGUAUACGGCGCUGUUUGUUUGACGGAACUGAACAUGUUCGAAGGGUUUUUGAGUCGGUGAAAGGAAUACAGAUCUGAUUUUUAAGUCAUUCGAUGUAUGUGUACUUUUUAAUGAUAUCUAAUGAGAGGAAAAUUAAAAAACUUUGCAUUUUCUUCAAUACAAAUAGUCCACAGUUUGUGUUGAUGACCAAUUUUGAACAACACAUUUCAUUUGCGAAGAUAUAUAUGAAGAACUUUUGCGUUACGAUAAGAUACAAUACGAUACGAUACGAGAAAGAGAAACGUUUUCGAUGAAAAAAAGCGAUUUCUGAAGGAGAAAACGUUUUUUUUUAACUUUCGAGGCAAAAAACACAUUUCUGAUCAAGAAACACUACAAAAAAAAGUUCCCGAAAGAAUAUAUUGAAUGCAAUUUGAAAUAUUCCGGUCAAAUGGCCAUGAAUGCAGACUGUGGAAACGAUAAUCAAUGUUUGUGGUACUCAAAAUUUGAAGAAAAAAAAACUCAAUUUGAUCUUUCAAAACACAACCAUUUUUCUAGGAAAAAAAGAGAUGAACUUUUUGUUAAGAAAACAGACAACAAAAAUGCAUGUAAUAUUAAAAUGUUGUAAGCAUCUUAUAGAAAGUAUACUAACACUGUAAUUUAAUUGUUGUACUCUUAAGUAAAAUUUAAAAACAAACAAAAAAGUCAAGUAUAUUAUGGCACAUAUUAUUAUCAAAGUAACAGAAAAGAAGAAGAAGAAGAAGAAUAAAAAACAACAACAUCGGUAACGUUAAGUUAAGUAAAGGUGCGCGAAUUACAGAUAAACGGUAGCUGUGCUACCAUUCGCUCUCAUUGUUCAAUUUCAAAACUAUUUUACCCUUCCCACGAAACUAAAAAAAAGAAAGAAGAUAUAACCAAUUUUAAAAGAACAAUUGAAAAAAUAAAAAAAUUAACUAAUUAUGUGAACAAUUUGUGUAUUAAUGCACUUCAAUAGACAGUACAAACGAAUAAAACUAACGAGUUUUUCAAGCAAGCUAUGUCGAAAUCGAUCACCGUGUGUCAGUUGUCAUUUAGAAAGAAAAGAAGAAAUAAAUGUUCUGUUUGAAAACUUGAAUUUACAAUUAUAUAAUUGACACAAGUCGUUUCUUUCUCUGUUGCGUCCUACGUGCAAGGUUUCAAUUCUCGAAACGUGUGUGGCUCCGCGACCAGAACAGAAAAAAUGAUGAUUUUUCAUCUAAUUACAUAGUGUCACCGUGGCCGGUGACUCAUCCUUUAAGUGCAAUGGUCUUUUUUCUUUCCUUUUCUUUUAGAUAUAUUUGCAAAACACUUUCACAAUUCGUUAAUUCGCACCACAAAGUUAUUAACUAUUUUAAAUCGAACGGGAAACUCUCUCAACUCAUUGGUUUUGAUCGAAACUAAAAACAUCAUAUUGUUUUUUUCGAAGAGCCUGUCAUCUUUACAUAUCAUUUCGUUUAAGCGUUUUGAGCACCUUUUGAUACGAACACAAAUGCUAGUUUUCCUUUUGAUGCGGUGUGCAAAUCAAUACGUAUUACUUUUGAGUCAAAUUCAAGUGAUGAUAUUUUGGUCCAAUAUUUUUGACACAAUUGAACCACAGAGAAUGAAUGCCCGAUCUAGAGGUUAAUCAUGAUCAUAUGGUCGACUGAACUUAUCGAAUUUUAUACAAAAGUGAAACUUGAAUUCGUUUAUCGAAAAAAAAGGAACUUUAAGAAGUGGAAUCUUGUUCAGGAAAAAGUCAAAAUGUCACCCUUUUUCACCUAUUAGUUACAAAGUGUUCGGUUAUUCAUAUGAAAUGUUUGAUUUUUCGAACACAUUGUAAAUGAUGGAUUGAAAAACGUAUGGAAAAGUAUGUUGUAAAAGCGACAUGUUUUCGUGCAAAAAUUUCGAACUGCCUUUUUUUCGCAUGUAAUGGAUUCAAGUCCUGCUUUUGCAAUCACUUCGAUUAAGUGCGAUUUCAUUUUAAACGGUUCAAGACUAUCUUCCUGUGUUUCUCAAUCAGUUUGGAGAAAUGACCUUUCGCAAUCAGUCCGGAGAAAUGAGCUUUAUCACUAUCGACUCAUUUCUCCACGGUUUAUUCCGAAACAAUCCAUCAAUUGUGAAGGAAAAAGAUUUUGAUCCAUUUCCAAAAUUUGAUUUUGAAACAAAAACUUGAAAAUUAUCACGCAACGACGAAAUCACAUUGGAUUUUGUUGAAUGAAUUUCCCUUUCGCAAACAAAACAAAAAAAAUAUUCACUAGAUUUACGAUACACAAUAACAACAAAAACCAUACCAAUUGUAUAUUUAUGCAGUAGAUAAAUACAACGAAUAGAACUUUUCAAGAAAUGAAUUAUUGAAAGUGAUUUAAAAUUUAGUCAUUUAAAUGAACAACAACAACAUGAAGAAGAAGAAAAAAACAUUACACACAAAAAGGAAAAUGCAAAAUCAAUAAAACUUAAUUAGAUUUCUAAUAGUAGAUAUUUUUUAUUCAGAUUUCAUCCAUAUCCGCAAUUACGCAAUAAAUCAAUUUAUGCAAUUAAACAUUUUGAUUGAAAUAAAAAUUAAGAUUAAAACCAAAAAAAAAA